UCUGUGGAGUGUACAAGAACUUGUGAGUAGCCUAGGCAAAAGCAUACACAAUGAAGCAGAAA
rnacentral:sRNA from 19 species